UAGGGAAUCUUCGGCAAUGGGGGGAACCCUGACCGAGCAACGCCGCGUGAGUGAAGAAGGUUUUCGGAUCGUAAAGCUCUGUUGUUAAGGAAGAACGAGUGUGAGAAUGGAAAGUUCAUGCUGUGACGGUACUUAACCAGAAAGGGACGGCUAACUACGUGCCAGCAGCCGCGGUAAUACGUAGGUCCCGAGCGUUGUCCGGAUUUAUUGGGCGUAAAGCGAGCGCAGGCGGUUAGAAAAGUCUGAAGUGAAAGGCAGUGGCUCAACCAUUGUAGGCUUUGGAAACUGUUUAACUUGAGUGCAGAAGGGGAGGGUGGAAUUCCAUGUGUGGCGGUGAAAUGCGUAGAUAUAUGGAGGAACACCGGUGGCGAAAGCGGCUCUCUGGUCUGUAACUGACGCUGAGGCUCGAAAGCGUGGGGAGCGAACAGG
rnacentral:rRNA from 2 species